CCUACGGGAGGCAGCAGUGGGGAAUAUUGCACAAUGGGGGAAACCCUGAUGCAGCGACGCCGCGUGAGUGAAGACGUAAUUCGUUACGUAAAGCUCUAUCAGCAGGGAAGAAACACUGACCUUACGGUCAGCCGACGGUACCUGAGUAAGAAGCCCCGGCUAACUACGUGCCAGCAGCCGCGGCAAUACGUAGGGGGCAAGCGUUAUCCGCAUUUACUGGGUGUAAAGGGAGCGUCGACGGUGCGCCAAGUCUGCAUUGAAAUGCCGCAGCUUAACUGCGGAACUGCUUGGGAAACUGGCGAACGAGAGUGCGGGAGGGGUGAGCGGAAUUACUAGUGUAGCGGUGAA
rnacentral:rRNA from 1 species